UAGCUUCAUGAAUCAAGCAAUUGAAUGCUUAAAUCAAAAGAAAAUCUGUUGCAUGAGCUCAAAUUUCGAAUAGCAAGUUCCAAUUUGUGAAGUGGCAAAGCGAUGUAGGAUUAAAGAAUGAUAUGAAUUUGUUGAUUGUUGAUGGGUUAUGAGGCGUGAAAGAAGAAGGUUCCAACACUAGGAAAUCGGAAGGCUCACAAGAUCGAGGUAAAUCCUCAAGCUAGGCGGUCGGACGAUUUGGAAUGAGCACACUU
rnacentral:lncRNA from 1 species